CACGUAGGGCGCAAGCGUUGUCCGGAAUUAUUGGGCGUAAAGAGCUCGUAGGCGGACUGUCACGUCUGCUGUGAAAAGCUGGGGCUUAACCCUGGCCUUGCAGUGGAUACGGGCAGACUAGAGGUAGGUAGGGGAGAAUGGAAUUCCCGGUGUAGCGGUGAAAUGCGCAGAUAUCGGGAGGAACACCGGUGGCGAAGGCGGUUCUCUGGGCCUUACCUGACGCUGAGGAGCGAAAGCUAGGGGAGCAAACAGG
rnacentral:rRNA from 1 species